GACGAACGCUGGCGGCGUGCUUAACACAUGCAAGUCGAACGGAAAGGCCCUGCUUUUGUGGGGUGCUCGGGUGGCGAACGGGUGAGUAACACGUGAGUAACCUGCCCUGGACUUUGGUAUAACUUCAGGAAACUGGGGCUAAUACCGGAUAGGAGCUCCUGCUGCAUGGGGGGGGUGGGAAAGUUUCGGCGGUUGGGGAUGGACGCGCGGCUUAUCAGCUUGUUGGUGGGGUAGUGGCUUACCAAGGCUUUGACGGGUAGCCGGCCUGAGAGGGUGACCGGCAACAUUGGGACUGAGAUACGGCCCAGACUCCUACGGGAGGCAGCAGUGGGGAAUAUUGCACAAUGGGCGGAAGCCUGAUGCAGCAACGCCGCGUGCGGGAUGACGGCCUUCGGGUUGUAAACCGCUUUCGCCUGUGACGAAGCGUGAGUGACGGUAAUGGGUAAAGAAGCACCGGCUAACUACGUG
rnacentral:rRNA from 1 species